rnacentral:rRNA from 1 species
UACGGAGGGGGCUAGCGUUGUUCGGAAUUACUGGGCGUAAAGCGCACGUAGGCGGCUUUGCAAGUUAGAGGUGAAAGCCCGGGGCUCAACUCCGGAAUUGCCUUUAAAACUGCAUCGCUAGAAUUGUGGAGAGGUAAGUGGAAUUCCGAGUGUAGAGGUGAAAUUCGUAGAUAUUCGGUAGAACACCAGUGGCGAAGGCGACUUACUGGACACAUAUUGACGCUGAGGUGCGAAAGCGUGGGGAGCAAACAGG